UGAAUUUUGAGAGAGAACCGGCAGGAGAGAAAGGGAGAAAGAAGAAGAAGAGAAAAGAGGGAAAUUAGAAGGGAAAUAGAAAGGAAUUGAAGGAAAUAAGUAAAAAGAUAAUCCUGAUAUUCUACCGGCGGGACGUCAGUAGGAUUUUCUUCGGUGUCUGCUUUUGGCUUCUGUUUGCUUUUGAGUCAGGCUUAUAGCUUAAUAACAGGUCAUUUUGUUGGACCUUCAGAACCUGCUUUUUGGUUGUACUUGGUACCUUUCCUUUAUGUCUAGUUAGUGCUCCAAAACUCUGAACUUAUAUAAACUCUUGUAUUAAGACAAUUCAAUUAUAUUAUGAAGUUGAUUUUGUUAUUAA